ACCGCCUGCCAGAUCCGUUCUGCGCAUGCGCAUAAUUACGUAGUAGAAGACGUAACGAUUCCUCUGUAAUAUCUGUACCACGCAUGUCUUGAAACAGUUGACGGCCAAGAAGCGGCACAUUUGACGAGACCAACUUCGCAGAAAAAUAUAUUUUGACUACACCCGACGAAUUAUGUUCACAGAUUGUGCAGGUUGAUGCCACUAAAGACCACGAUUAACUUCACCAAAGGACAUGGAAAUAUGUGCGUUCAAACCACCAGAAGGUGCAGUGCAACCAAGUCCACCAAGCCCCCCCAGGACACACAAAUCACUCAACAACAUAGAAUGACAAAAUGCCACCCCAAAUUGUCAGAUGGCACAGUUCAUGUCAAAAGCCCAAGGACUCAGAACAUGAAGCCAAAGAAGUAGAUGAUGACUCGGCCCAGUGACACCAAAUGGAAAAGCCCAUUGCAGUAGUCAACCCUACUGGAGAUGAAUGCAUCAAUAAGUUAUCUAAAUCAUGUUUUGACAUUAGACAUCUAAGUUUGGCCAUGUUUUUGAGGCUUAUGACUCUGCCACUGCACAUGGUUUGUAGAGAGAGGCACGCACACUCUAU